UAAAUAUUUUGUUACCCAUAAACUCUACCACUCAAAAAACCCCUGUUGGCUGUGAUAAUAACUCGCAGUCUAGCCUUUACGCACAGUAGAGUGAGUCAGAUUCGCCAUGCAGCCGUGCGGAGGUAUUGAGGACAGCCUGCGCAGCGGAUAAAACAGAUGCAAAGCUUUCACCGGGGUUGUGUAUAAUCCUGUCCUCACGACAGUCGUCAAACCACCUCGUAGAUUAUAACUCAAUUGAGGAUAACUUUCUAAGGCUAUUUGAAUUAGGACUACAUGAAGAGCGGCGGUGAUACGUACAGUUGUUAAACUGCCCUCUUCCUUGAAGCGCCAAAUCACGCAACAGCUGCAGCCGGAGAAAGUGACUUCAUUUGCCCCUUUUUCUCGGUUUAAACUCACGCCUGUUGCACUGUGGACGCGCGAGGAGGAGACUUGCAGCUGACAAGCAACAAGCACAUGGUGCGUUAUUAUGAUCCAUGAAUGAAGAGAAAACAAAGGCCCUGAAACAGUCUCAGUGAGGACUUUAUACACACAGAAGAGAUGUGGAUCAAAGCGGGAAGAGCUGCCGACUUUUGCAUCCCGACUGGACAUUUACCAUCUCCGGCACUGAGAUGGGUUUUGACUUCAGCCACAGGCACAGAAGAAAUUGGCCAACAAGGCCAGACAGACUGGCGAUCGCAGCAGCAUUAAGUAACGAAGGCUACCUGACAUGCUGCUGAAACCCUGAUGGAAGGAUUUGCUGCGUGUUACAGAGCAGUGGCUGUAAUCUCAUCACAUGCCGUUGUUGGAGCUUUUGGAUCUGGAUCAACGCUGGAAUGUGCGUGUUUACCCACUGACUGCUAAGAACCUUUACAGCCUUUGAUAGCGGUGAGUCAUUUAGGGUUGUGGCUGCGUUACACUGUUUUCUCAUUGUUUUCACUUGAAGACUUUGUGGUCAAUAAAACAUGUUUUGUCAGAAGUGUUUUGCUGGUUGUUUGUGUGCCAAAUAAACUCCAUUAAAAAUCAUUUCUUUAUGCACAAACCUGCUCUUCUACUUUGUCAAAGCUCUCUUGCAAUGUUACUGUUUAAGAAAUGAAAACUCGACUUUGUUUUAUUGUCUGUAAAUGUAAGUUGCUUUAUAUGUGAAUUAAUGUAAGUCAAAUGUACAAGGGUGUUUUUAUGCACAGCGUUUAUAUGUCACUCCACCUCGAAGUCGCACCAAAGCUUGCCAACCUGUACGACCUCUCUGAUGUUCGAACAGGGUGAGGUAGUAGGUUGUGUGGUUUCAGGGUAAUGAUUUUGCCCAAUAAGGAGAUAACUAUACAACCUACUUCCUUCCCUGAAGGGCAGCAAUACAUCACUAUACAGACUGCAGAGGGGGCGUCUUGCUCCCAGCAUCAGAAAAACUUGACCCUGAUCUACAAACCUGACCCUGAGCCACCAGUCCACUUCUUACCUGGAACGUACACAUCCACAGCCAAUCACAGCAACAGAGAGGACCUGCAGGUAAAGCCUGUUCACUGUGGGAUUUGUGUUUGAUUCGUUUUUUUCUGCUUCAAACUUUAAUAAAGAAUAAUAUCAUAAA